ACCAGACUCCUACGGGAGGCAGCAGUGGGGAAUAUUGCACAAUGGGGGAAACCCUGAUGCAGCAACGCCGCGUGAGUGAAGAAGUAUUUCGGUAUGUAAAGCUCUGUCAGCAGGGAAGAAGAAAGACGGUACCUGACCAAGAAGCCCCGGCUAACUACGUGCCAGCAGCCGCGGUAAUACGUAGGGGGCAAGCGUUAUCCGGAUUUACUGGGUGUAAAGGGAGCGUAGACGGCAGGGCAAGUCUGGAGUGAAAGGCAGGGGCCCAACCCCUGGACUGCUCUGGAAACUGUCCGGCUGGAGUGCGGGAGAGGUAAGUGGAAUUCCUAGUGUAGCGGUGAAAUGCGUAGAUAUUAGGAGGAACACCAGUGGCGAAGGCGGCUUACUGGACUGUAACUGACGUUGAGGCUCGAAAGCGUGGGGAGCAUACAGGAUUAGAUACCCGCGUACC
rnacentral:rRNA from 1 species